rnacentral:rRNA from 1 species
GACGUAGGGCGCGAGCGUUGUCCGGAUUUAUUGGGCGUAAAGAGCUCGUAGGCGGCUUGUCGCGUCGAAUGUGAAAUCUCAGGGCUCAACUCUGACAUUGCAUUCGAUACGGGCAGGCUCGAGUUCGGUAGGGGAGACUGGAAUUCCUGGUGUAGCGGUGAAAUGCGCAGAUAUCAGGAGGAACACCGGUGGCGAAGGCGGGUCUCUGGGCCGAUACUGACACUGAGAAGCGAAAGCGUGGGGAGCGAACAGG